UAGCGGCAGGCCUAACACAUGCAAGUCGAGGGGCAUCACGAGGUAGCAAUACUUUGGUGGCGACCGGCGCACGGGUGCGUAACGCGUAUGUAACCUACCUAUAACAGGGGCAUAACACUGAGAAAUUGGUACUAAUUCCCCAUAAUAUUCGGAGAGGCAUCUCUCCGGGUUGAAAACUCCGGUGGUUAUAGAUGGACAUGCGUUGUAUUAGCUAGUUGGUGAGGUAACGGCUCACCAAGGCAACGAUACAUAGGGGGACUGAGAGGUUAACCCCCCACACUGGUACUGAGACACGGACCAGACUCCUACGGGAGGCAGCAGUGAGGAAUAUUGGUCAAUGGACGCAAGUCUGAACCAGCCAUGCCGCGUGCAGGAAGACGGCUCUAUGAGUUGUAAACUGCUUUUGUACGAGGGUAAACUCACCUACGUGUAGGUGACUGAAAGUAUCGUACGAAUAAGGAUCGGCUAACUCCGUGCCAGCAGCCGCGGUAAUACGGAGGAUUCAAGCGUUAUCCGGAUUUAUUGGGUUUAAAGGGUGCGUAGGCGGUUUGAUAAGUUAGAGGUGAAAUCCCGGGGCUUAACUCCGGAACUGCCUCUAAUACUGUUAGACUAGAGAGUAGUUGCGGUAGGCGGAAUGUAUGGUGUAGCGGUGAAAUGCUUAGAGAUCAUACAGAACACCGAUUGCGAAGGCAGCUUACCAACUAUAUCUGACGUU
rnacentral:rRNA from 1 species